rnacentral:rRNA from 1 species
GGCGUGCUUAACACAUGCAAGUCGAACGAUGAAGGAGGAGCUUGCUCCUCUGGAUUAGUGGCGAACGGGUGAGUAACACGUGAGCAAUCUGCCCUUGACUCUGGGAUAAGCGCUGGAAACGGCGUCUAAUACCGGAUACGACCCUCGGAGGCAUCUCCUGUGGGUGGAAAGAACUUCGGUCAAGGAUGAGCUCGCGGCCUAUCAGCUUGUUGGUGAGGUAAUGGCUCACCAAGGCGACGACGGGUAGCCGGCCUGAGAGGGUGACCGGCCACACUGGGACUGAGACACGGCCCAGACUCCUACGGGAGGCAGCAGUGGGGAAUAUUGCACAAUGGGCGCAAGCCUGAUGCAGCAACGCCGCGUGAGGGACGACGGCCUUCGGGUUGUAAACCUCUUUUAGCAGGGAAGAAGCGAGAGUGACGGUACCUGCAGAAAAAGCACCGGCUAACUACGUGCCAGCAGCCGCGGUAAUACGUAGGGUGCAAGCGUUGUCCGGAAUUAUUGGGCGUAAAGAGCUCGUAGGCGGUCUGUCGCGUCUGCUGUGAAAACCCGAGGCUCAACCUCGGGCUUGCAGUGGGUACGGGCAGACUAGAGUGCGGUAGGGGAGAUUGGAAUUCCUGGUGUAGCGGUGGAAUGCGCAGAUAUCAGGAGGAACACCGAUGGCGAAGGCAGAUCUCUGGGCCGUAACUGACGCUGAGGAGCGAAAGCGUGGGGAGCAAACAGGCUUAGAUACCCUGGUAGUCCACGCCGUAAACGUUGGGAACUAGAUGUGGGGACCAUUCCACGGUCUCCGUGUCGUAGCUAACGCAUUAAGUUCCCCGCCUGGGGAGUACGGCCGCAAGGCUAAAACUCAAAGGAAUUGACGGGGGCCCGCACAAGCGGCGGAGCAUGCGGAUUAAUUCGAUGCAACGCGAAGAACCUUACCAAGGCUUGACAUAUACGAGAACGCGCUGGAGACAGCGAACUCUU